rnacentral:rRNA from 1 species
CAAGGCUGAGGCGUGAUGACGAGGCACUACGGUGCUGAAGCAACAAAUGCCCUGCUUCCAGGAAAAGCCUCUAAGCAUCAGGUAACAUCAAAUCGUACCCCAAACCGACACAGGUGGUCAGGUAGAGAAUACCAAGGCGCUUGAGAGAACUCGGGUGAAGGAACUAGGCAAAAUGGUGCCGUAACUUCGGGAGAAGGCACGCUGAUAUGUAGGUGAAGUCCCUCGCGGAUGGAGCUGAAAUCAGUCGAAGAUACCAGCUGGCUGCAACUGUUUAUUAAAAACACAGCACUGUGCAAACACGAAAGUGGACGUAUACGGUGUGACGCCUGCCCGGUGCCGGAAGGUUAAUUGAUGGGGUUAGCGCA